GCCCCCGUAGCUCAGCCGGAUAGAGCGUCGGUUUCCUAAACCGCAGGCCGCGUGUUCAAAUCUCGCCGGGGGCACCA
rnacentral:tRNA from 1 species